rnacentral:rRNA from 1 species
UACGAAGGGGGCUAGCGUUGUUCGGAAUUACUGGGCGUAAAGCGCGUGUAGGCGGGCUUUUAAGUCAGGGGUGAAAUGCCAAGGCUCAACCUUGGAACUGCCUUUGAUACUGGAAGUCUUGAGUCCGGGAGAGGUGAGUGGAACUGCGAGUGUAGAGGUGAAAUUCGUAGAUAUUCGCAAGAACACCAGUGGCGAAGGAGGCUCACUGGCCCGGAAAUGACGCUGAGACGCGAAAGCGUGGGGAGCAAACAGG